UUGGAGGGCAAGUCUGGUGCCAGCAGCCGCGGUAAUUCCAGCUCCAAUAGCGUAUAUUAAAGUUGUUGCAGUUAAAAAGCUCGUAGUUGAAUUUCGGGGUUAGUAGGUUGGUCAUGCCUCUGGUAUGUACUGGUCUCACUGAUUCCUCCUUCCUGAUGAGCCGUAAUGCCAUUAAUUUGGUGUUGCGGGGAAUUUGGACUGUUACUUUGAAAAAAUUAGAGUGUUUAAAGCAAGCUAACGCUUGAAUACAUUAGCAUGGAAUAAUGAAAUAGGACGUUCGAUCCUAUUUUGUUGGUUUCUAGGAUUGACGUAAUGAUUAAUAGGGAUAGUUGGGGGCAUUAGUAUUCAAUUGUCAGAGGUGAAAUUCUUGGAUUUAUUGAAGACUAACUACUGCGAAAGCAUUUGCCAAGGAUGUUUUCAUUAAUCAAGAACGAAAGUUAGGGGAUCGAAGACGAUCAGAUACCGUCGUAGUCUUAACCAUAAACUAUGCCGACUAGGGAUCGGAUGAUGUUAAUUUUUUAAUGACUCAUUCGGCGCCUUACGGGAAAA
rnacentral:rRNA from 1 species